GCUACUAAGUCUUUUUCAAGAUCUUCAAGACCUUGCCAAGGUUGUAAGGUUUACAAGUCAUGAAUAAAUGGGAUCCCCAGGACUUGGAACCUCUAUCAAAUACUGUGUCCUAACUCCAAUCCAAUAGACAGCCAUAAUAAUAUACAAAGUUUCAACUGUUUCUACAAUAGAAGUAUCAAAACCACCCAAACUUUAAAUAAAUAGACUCCAAUUUUGCUGUUAUGCUGAACAAAGAUCUCCACAUUCAACAGUUUACAUUGUCGAUUCGAGGCAAUUUCAGUCAGUACCUUGCAUAGGGACCAUCAGAUGCUGGGCUUGUGAUUGAGAACUCGCAUAAUUAACUCCUUGGGAAAGCGACCCUUGAUGAGCAAUCUGAGAAAUAGGGGUUGAAUGAGCUUCUUUCUUAGCUGACGCAUCACCACCUUUAGCAGACCCCUUAGUGUCACCCUCCGUCUCUCUGUAUUUCGUCAAGUAGGUUUUAAGUGGAUCGAUAUAAUCCUCAAAUCCAAGAGUGGCCAUGGCCCAAAGUAAAUCAUCUCCAUUAAUCGUCUUCCGUUUCUCUCUUU
rnacentral:misc_RNA from 1 species